rnacentral:tRNA from 1 species
GCGCCUGUAGCUCAACUGGAUAGAGCGUUGGCCUCCGGAGCCAAAGGUUUUGGGUUCGACUCCCAACAGGCGUACCA